rnacentral:rRNA from 1 species
GACGAACGCUGGCGGCGUGCCUAAUACAUGCAAGUAGAACGAGUGGCGGACGGGUUAGUAAAGUAUGGGGAUCUGCGCGGUAGAGGGGGAUAACUACUGGACACGGUGGCUAAUACCGCAUACUAUCGCGUGAACACUUAUGGGAUUAGUUUGUAGGUGGGGUAAACGCGCACCUAGGCGACGAUCUCUAGCUGGUCUGAGAGGAUGUUCAGCCACACUGGUACUGAGACACGGCCAAGACUCCUACGGUAGGCAGCAGUGGGGAAUAGUGCACACUUGUCGCAAGCCUGAUGCAGCCAUGCCGCGUGUAUGAAGAAGGCCUUAGGGGUGUAAAGUACUUUCAGCGGGGAGGCGUUACCCGCAGAAGAAGCACCGGCUAACGCCGUGCCAGCAGCCGCGGUAAUAC